GAUGAACGCUGGCGGCGUGCCUAAUACAUGCAAGUCGAGCGAACGGACGAGAAGCUUGCUUCUCUGAUGUUAGCGGCGGACGGGUGAGUAACACGUGGAUAACCUACCUAUAAGACUGGGAUAACUUCGGGAAACCGGAGCUAAUACCGGAUAAUAUUUUGAACCGCAUGGUUCAAAAGUGAAAGACGGUCUUGCUGUCACUUAUAGAUGGAUCCGCGCUUCAUUAGCUAGUUGGUAAGGUAACGGCUUACCAAGCCAACGAUGCAAAGCCGACCUAGGAGGGUGAUCGGCCACACUGGAACUGAGCCACGGUCCAGCCUCCUACGGGAGGCAGCAGUAGGGAAUCUUCCGCAAUGGGCGAAAGCCUGACGGAGCAACGCCGCGUGAGUGAUGAAGGUCUUCGGAUCGUAAAACUCUGUUAUUAGGGAAGAACAUAUGUGUAAGUAACUGUGCACAUCUUGACGGUACCUAAUCAGAAAGCCACGGCUAACUACGUG
rnacentral:rRNA from 1 species